rnacentral:rRNA from 1 species
CCUACGGGGUGGCUGCAGUGGGGAAUAUUGGACAAUGGGCGAAAGCCUGAUCCAGCCAUGCCGCGUGUGUGAAGAAGGCCUUCGGGUUGUAAAGCACUUUCAGUGGGGAAGAAAGCCUUGGGGCUAAUACCCUCGAGGAAGGACAUCACCCACAGAAGAAGCACCGGCUAACUCCGUGCCAGCAGCCGCGGUAAUACGGAGGGUGCGAGCGUUAAUCGGAAUUACUGGGCGUAAAGCGCGCGUAGGCGGUCUGAUAAGCCGGUUGUGAAAGCCCCGGGCUCAACCUGGGAACGGCAUCCGGAACUGUCAGGCUAGAGUGCAGGAGAGGAAGGUAGAAUUCCCGGUGUAGCGGUGAAAUGCGUAGAGAUCGGGAGGAAUACCAGUGGCGAAGGCGGCCUUCUGGACUGACACUGACGCUGAGGUGCGAAAGCGUGGGUAGCAAACAGGAUUAGAUACCCCGUAGUC